AUGAUGUGGGGAGAGAUAAGGAAGUGAUAUCUGGGGUUUGACGGUUUCUGGUUGUGACAAUUUCUGUGUUGCCGGUCAGAAUAAUGUGGUUGUGCAACCCGUGCCAAUUGCAAACCCUUUUGGAACACUCCCUACAAUGCCUCAAAUGUCAAUUAUGCUGGCUCCACACCCUCUGUCCAGUAUGGAAUUUAACAUGCCUACAAGUAAUCUACUGAAAAUCUGGCUAUAAAUUUGAACUAGAGUGAUUUUUGUUAUACGACAUGCAUUUUUUAUGUCGAAUAUGUUUGGUAGGCUCUAAGCAUUGCGUUCAAGAUUUUGAUUUAUGUAAUUGUUCAAGGAACUCUUUAUAAAUCUAUGGGUCUUUCAUUGAACUGAACUUGAAAUUAGUUAGACCAAACAAUUUGAGUCUAGCCUGUGAUUUUGAACAUUGCAUAUGUCCUGAAUAGAUAAAUGAUGAGGUUUGUAUGAAGACAUGGGAUUUUUUUUUUUUGCAAAAAGGUUGGCAACAAACCCACUCUUUUCUUUUAUUUUUUCAAGAAAUGAAGAAAUGUUAGUUCUUCAAUUCAUUUUGAUUAAAUAUGAAAUGGGUUUUUGAUUAAUUGAGUUUUUCUUCUUCUGGGAUGAAUAAGAAUAGUGCUUGAUGAGUUGAAGAGAUGAAUAAUGAGGGUUGGGUUUUAUGGGUUUUUAGUUGGGAUUAAUGUACAAUUGUUGGCUUCUGAAUCCAUUUUGAUUGAAUGUGAAAUGGGUUUUUUAUUACCAUAUCAGAUGGUGAAGCUAGGGUUGCGAGAAUGCCCAAGCUGAAGUGGCACAAGGUAAUUGUCUUGCUCAUGCAUAGAAUGUAGAUACUGCAUUAUGAGCUCAUUGAGUGCUGAAGAGAUGCAACCUUUUUCUUUUUGUAGAAACUUUGGGCUGUCAAGAACCUUAAUAAAAAUUGAUUGCUACUUCAAAAGAAGAAGAAUGCUCUUAUGUCUCUUUUCCUGGUUAAGCCGAUGGAAUACUCUCCAAUUGUAUCGAUACUUUAGUUUCAAACUCAGUUCUUGGCCCAGCUAAACUGAAUCAAAUUAGCCAAAUACUGAUGUGAUUAGCAGUUCUCAAGAAUUGCUUACUAUAAUCUGAUGCUUUAUAGGAUCUAACACAAUAGGCUAGCAUCCAUUACUUUAUGGUACAAGAACUUGAUGGAAUUGUAAAUGAGUGGUGUUGGUGAAAACAAAAGGUAUUUGAGUGUGUGGGGGUGGUAAACUCUCAGGAUCCUUGCUCUAUUUAUUUAUUUAUUUUUAGCUUGUUAGAACACCCACUGUCAGUUCACACUUCACUAUUAGCCACAUUCAUAAUGCAAAUCUAGUUAGUGGAGAUUUCCCCAAAUUCAUGCAGCUAAAAUUGUUGAUCAGUAGAACUGACUUCUCGUAACUUUGAUGAACUGGUUCUUAAAAGUAAAGAACUCUGGAUUGUGGAAUUUUUUGCACAUCGGUGUGGCCAUUGUAAAAAGUUGGCACCAGAAUGGAAGAAAGCUUCAAAUAACCUGAAGGGGAAGGUGUAGCUGGGCCAUGUUAAUUGUGAUGCUGAGAUGGUAAUUAUACGUUAUCCUGCAUAAAUAAAUAAAAUCAUUGGAAGUAAU